ensembl:lncRNA
UGUAGAUGUGGGGAGUGGGUUGUUACACAGAAAUGGUCUGAUUGUCUUUGAGAAACGACUGUGCAAAACACAGUUGCCAAAUCAUCUUUGGUGGGCCGGUGCUGAAAGACAGGGUCAGUCAGAGCUCCCUCAGAAGGGAAAGGUAGGAGCAACUCAAUGCAAUCUGUAAGAGUAAGCUGAGGAAGGGGAUCUCGCUACAUGUGUGUAUGAUAAAUCAAUGAGGUCAGGUAGAACGGUGCCCUUGAAAUGCAUUUGAAUGCAUUUCUCCAUAGUAUCCAAAACACAGAAGGGGGAAUCACCACCGAGUUGAGAAUAAGCUGAGGAGAACCCAACAGAUCAUUGCUGUUCAGCUGAAAAUACUAUCAGAAUUUGGUGAUAUCUGAUUGAAAGCUUCGCAGGGGUAGAAAGUAGCUCAGGUGUUGGAAGGCAUCUCAAGGAGUUUGAAAUGUCAGUAGUGCAGUGUAAUCAGAGAGUCUGCCAAGUCGCUUGCUCCUUCUCACAUGGGGCAAGUUCAAAGCUGAAGUGCAAGAAGCUGCCAGAAACUGUGCUAACAAAGCAGGUAUCAGCUCCAAAGAUGGUUUGAAAUCGCACUUGAGAAGAGCCACGAAACACAGCAGUGCUGGUGCUCUUGGACGUUGCCCAGCUUCUGCAGUCUGUCUCAAUUAAACCAAGGAAAAAGACAGUACAACUACUGAAAAGUAUUUCACGUUUUGGAAGCAAGGAGGGUGUUCAUUAAAUAGCAGAAGUCAGGGUGCACUGACCUCUUGUAACAGCCUCGUCUGAAGAAGCGUGUAGCUUAUCCAAAGAAACUUCACUGGUGUUUUAAAACUCUGCAGGCAGAUGAAGAAAUUGGAAAUUCACAUCCUCGGAAAGCAAUAACUUUAUGGAACUGUCUGUUAAACUUCACUUCUCUGCUAACAAAUGGAUUACAAAGAGAGGGAGAGCUGGGAGACAAUGGUUUUAUUAUACCUGAGGAAUGCUGUAAGAUUUAUGCCAGAGUAAUAGGAGGUGUGGGAUAACAGGCAAUAUAAGGAAAGGUGUCUCUGGCUGUUGCAAAACAUUUUCUGAUGCUGAUUUAUAUGUGAAGUGUUUGAUGAGUGCUUGAUAUGCUGUGAUUUUCAGAAGCAAAGAAUGAGAUUAAGGGGAAAUAGAUACAUGUCUGAAAGGAAGACAAAGCAAAAUAAAUCCAAACCUAGUUACUGGGUAUAGUAACGGGCCAACAAUGUCUAGAAUCCUUAAGAUGUUCAUCCAUAUCAGAUCUACUAUCUAUGUAAAGUGCCUGUUGAUGGUCCAUAUGGACCAUGAAUCACAGAAAAAGCACAGCCUUGAUAUCCUGAGAGGCCCAGGGAGAGAUUGAAAAGUUCGUGAAGGCAGAUUUUCAACAAAAGUCAAACAGAGUGAGUUGACGUCAGUAGCAAGCUAUGUUCCAGUGGGGGCUGGCUGAAGCUAUCUUGGCACAGAGCAAGCUGUCCGUUAAGAGGACACAGCAUCUGAGUGUUGUGCUGGCCAAAAUGCAGGGUAAGGUACUCCAAGAAGCCCUGACACAUGGCUUCUGCUGAUUCGCUGUGUUGGAAAGAUGCAGCUGGGCUUGAUGACGAUGAUACAGCCAUGCCUAGAGGAGAGCUGAUAGGAGUACCAGAGACAGUUUACGCCAUACGAUUGCAUUAAAAAUUUCCCCAGCUGAAAUUUCAAGCCCUUCCAAACAGGCAUGCCUCAAAGGAAAACUGGAGAUUGGAAAACGUAAUGUAAAAUAUAAGCAAGUUUUACACAGUAUCAUCAUUUUAAAGGAUGUCAACAGUAAUUUACUGUGGGGAUGAAAGACAGAUGUUUAAUGAAACAGUCAGUGAAAAAGAAUGACUCUUGGAAGAGUGGAUAAAACAACGGCAAGAAUGGCAGGUCCUAUUGAUAGAUGGUUUCUAUCAAUAAACAGAUCUGUUUCAAGUGAGCUACAUGGCAGAUGGCAGCAGAGGGGCAGUCUGACAGAAUGGAGUCUGACAUGGAAGUGCAUGUGAAGGAAAGGUGUGUCACUGAAUUUCUCUGGGCAGAAAACAUGGCACCCACUGAUAUUCAUAGAUGCUUGUUGAGUGUUUUUGGAGGCCAACCAGUAGAUGUGAGUACAGUGAGGUUGUGGAUGAUGCAUCACAGCAGUGGGGACAGCAACAGUGGGUCAAAUAAAAUGGUAGGAAAAAAUUGAAUCAACAUCUGUGGGUUUUUUUGUUUAGUGAAAGAAAAUGGAAUAAAGGUUAUCUGU